rnacentral:rRNA from 1 species
AUUGAACGCUGGCGGCAGGCCUAACACAUGCAAGUCGAGCGGAUGAAUGGAGCUUGCUCCUGGAUUCAUCGGCGGACGGGUGGGUAAUGCCUAGGAAUCUGCCUUGUCGUGGGGGAUAACGUCCGGAAACGGGCUCUAAUACCGCAUACGUCCUUAGGUAGAAAGUGGGUGAUCUUCGGACCUCACGCUAUCAUAUUAGCAUAGGUCGGAUCAGCUAGUUGGUGGGGUAAAGGCCUAACAAGGCUACGAUGCGUAACUGGUCUGAGAGGAUGAUCAGUUACACUGUCACUGAGAAAGGGUACAGACUCUUACAGGAGGAAGCAGUGGAGACUAUUGCACGAUGGGCGAAUGGCUGAUCCAGGAAUGCCGCGUGAGUGAAGAAGGUCUUAGGCUUCUAAAGCGAUUUAAGUCGGGAGGAAGGGAAGUAAGUUAACCCCUGACUGUUUUGACAUUACCAACAGAAUAAGCACCGGCUAACUUCGUG